rnacentral:rRNA from 1 species
UCCGGAGGGGACUAGCGUUUUUCGGAAUUACUGGGCGUAAAGCGCACGUAGGCGGAUUUGUAAGUCAGGGGUGAAAUCCCGGGGCUCAACCUCGGAACUGCCUUUGAUACUGCAAAUCUCGAGUCCGGAAGAGGUGAGUGGAAUUCCUAGUGUAGAGGUGAAAUUCGUAGAUAUUAGGAAGAACACCAGUGGCGAAGGCGGCUCACUGGUCCGGUACUGACGCUGAGGUGCGAAAGCGUGGGGAGCAAACAGG